GACGAACGUUGGCGGCGUGCUUAACACAUGCAAGUCGAACGGAAAGGCCCUGCUUUUGUGGGGUGCUCGAGUGGCGAACGGGUGAGUAACACGUGAGUAACCUGCCCUUGACUUUGGGAUAACUUCAGGAAACUGGGGCUAAUACCGGAUAGGAGCUCCUGCUGCAUGGUGGGGGUUGGAAAGUUUCGGCGGUUGGGGAUGGACUCGCGGCUUAUCAGCUUGUUGGUGGGGUAGUGGCUUACCAAGGCUUUGACGGGUAGCCGGCCUGAGAGGGUGACCGGCCACAUUGGGACUGAGAUACGGCCCAGACUCCUACGGGAGGCAGCAGUGGGGAAUAUUGCACAAUGGGCGGAAGCCUGAUGCAGCAACGCCGCGUGCGGGAUGACGGCCUUCGGGUUGUAAACCGCUUUCGCCUGUGACGAAGCGUGAGUGACGGUAAUGGGUAAAGAAGCACCGGCUAACUACGUGCCAGCAGCCGCGGUGAUACGUAGGGUGCGAGCGUUGUCCGGAUUUAUUGGGCGUAAAGGGCUCGUAGGUGGUUGAUCGCGUCGGAAGUGUAAUCUUGGGGCUUAACCCUGAGCGUGCUUUCGAUACGGGUUGACUUGAGGAAGGUAGGGGAGAAUGGAAUUCCUGGUGGAGCGGUGGAAUGCGCAGAUAUCAGGAGGAACACCAGUGGCGAAGGCGGUUCUCUGGGCCUUUCCUGACGCUGAGGAGCGAAAGCGUGGGGAGCGAACAGGCUUAGAUACCCUGGUAGUCCACGCUGUAAACGGUGGGUACUAGGUGUGGGGUCCAUUCCACGGGUUCCGUGCCGUAGCUAACGCUUUAAGUACCCCGCCUGGGGAGUACGGCCGCAAGGCUAAAACUCAAAGGAAUUGACGGGGCCCCGCACAAGCGGCGGAGCAUGCGGAUUAAUUCGAUGCAACGCGUAGAACCUUACCUGGGUUUGACAUGGAUCGGGAGUGCUCAGAGAUGGGUGUGCCUCUUUUGGGGUCGGUUCACAGGUGGUGCAUGCCUGUCGUCAGCUCGUGUCGUGAGAUGUUGGGUUAAGUCCCGCAACGAGCGCAACCCUUGUUCACUGUUGCCAGCACGUUAUGGUGGGGACUCAGUGGAGACCGCCGGGGUCAACUCGGAGGAAGGUGGGGAUGACGUCAAGUCCUCAUGCCCCUUAUGUCCAGGGCCUCACGCAUGCUACAAUGGCUGGUACAGAGAGUGGCGAGCCUGUGAGGGUGAGCGAAUCUCGGAAAGCCGGUCUCAGUUCGGAUUGGGGUCUGCAACUCGACCUCAUGAAGUCGGAGUCGCUAGUAAUCGCAGAUCAGCAACGCUGCGGUGAAUACGUUCCCGGGGCU
rnacentral:rRNA from 1 species